CCAAGGCGGCUUGAUAUUACUGAAUAACCGAUAGUGAAGAGUACCGUGAGGGAAAGGUGAAAAGAACCCCGAAAGGGGAGUGAAAAGAUCAUAAAUUCGUAAAUUUACAAGCAGUAGAAAGGCAUUUGUAUGCUUAACUUCGUGCCUGUUGAAGAAUGAGCUAGCGACUUGUAGAUUGUGGCAUUUUUUGGUUAAUUCUUGGUCGGUAAAACAUAUCGGAGCCAUAGUGAAAGCGAGGACGAAAAGUUCAUGACGAAAGUAGAAAGGUUUCUACUUUUAUUCAUGUCACAAUUUACAAACCCGAACCCGGAUGAUCUAACCGUGAUCAGUGUGAAACUUAGUUAACACUAAACGGAGGCAUGAACUGACUGUUGCUGCAAGAACAGCGGAUGAAUUGCGGUUAGGGGUGAAAUUCCAAUCGAAUUCGGAGCUAGCUGGAUCUCCCCGAAAUGUGUUGAGGCGCAGCAAUUAAAAAUUUAUGUUCAUUAUUAGGGGUAAAGCACUGUUUUGGUACGGGCCAUGAAAAAAUGGGACUAAAUCAAGGCAAACUAUGAAUACUAAAUGGAAUUGUAUAGGUACACAAUUAAGUGCCGAUUUUAAAUUAGUGAGACAUUGGGGGAUAAGCUUCAAUGUCAAAAGGGAAACAGCCCAGAUUAUUAGUUAAGGCCCUUAAAAAAAUACUGAGUGGAAAAGGAGGUGGAGUAACUAUGACAACCAGGAAGUUUGCUUAGAAGCAGCAAUCUUGUAAAGAGUGCGUAAUAGCUCACUGGUCUAGCAGUUCAAGCGAAUCCAAGUUAUUCUGCGCUGAAAAUGAUCGGGACUAAGUAAUUUGCCGAAACUAUAGGAUAUCAAUUAAAAGUCAUAUAUUAGAACUUUUAGUAGGAAUCGGUAGGGGAGCGUUCCACAUUAGAAAUAGUAAAAGUGGGAGUGAGAAUGUUAGCUUGAGUAGCGAAAACAUUGGUGAGAAUCCAAUGCUCCAGAAACCUAAGGGUUCCUUUGGUAGGUUCGUCCACGAAGGGUGAGUCAGGUCCUAAGAUAAGGCUAUUUGCAUAGUUGAUGGAUAACAGGUCAAUAAUCCUGUACUACUGUAAAAAAUAGUGGCAUGAAAGGGACGAAGUUUGAAAUAAACCUAAAAUUCUUUUUCCAAGAAAAGCUUAAGUGUUGAAAAGAUUAUUUAUCAUUAAAUGGAAUAAAUCUCAUAAUUUUUUAGAGUACCUGUACCAAACCGACACAGGUGGUGGGUAGAACAUACUAAGGAGCGCGAGAGAACUCUCUUUAAGGAACUCGGCAAAAUAGCCUCGUAACUUCGGGAGAAGAGGUGCCAUUAAAGAAUGAUAUUAUAUAGGUUUUAUCUUAAAUGGUUGCAAUAACAAGACGCUGGCGACUGUUUACCAAAAACACAGGUCUCCGCAAAGUUACAAAACGAAGUAUGGGGGCUGACACCUGCCCAGUGCCGGUAGGUUAAGGAAGCUUGUUCACGCUCGCGACGGAAGCCCCGGUAAACGGCGGCCGUAACAAUAACGGUCCUAAGGUAGCGAAAUUCCUUGUCGGGUAAGUUCCGACCCGCACGAAUGGUGUAACGACCGGCGUACUGUCUCAAAGAGAGGCUCGGCGAAAUAGACAUGUCUGUGAAGAUGCGGACUACCUGCACUUGGACAAAAAGACCCUAUGAAGCUUUACUGUAUCCUGAUAUUGAUUUUGGGUUUUGUUUGUAUAGAAUAGGUGGGAGGCAACGAUAAUUUUUUUAUGAAAAGUUUGAGCCAACAGUGAAAUACCACUCUUGCAAAACACAAAGUCUAACUUUAUACUGUGAAUCAGGUUAAAGGACAGUGUUUGGUGGUCAGUUUGACUGGGGCGGUCGCCUCCUAAAG
rnacentral:rRNA from 1 species